rnacentral:lncRNA from 1 species
AAAUAUCCAAACUUUUAUUUGAAUAUCCGAAAUAUCUUUUUUUUUUUUAAUUUAGAAUUUUACCUGAAACCUAAAAGUAUAAUUGAAAACUCAAACCCAAAACAAACAAAAAAAAAAUCUAUAGUACCAAAAAUAUAUUCGAAAUACUCAAUAUACUAAUAUACUCAAAACAUUUCAUGUACUUUCGGUAUCCGAGUCUUGAG